ensembl:lncRNA
AUCCCCUUACACUGUGUAUGACAGUAUUAUUAUUAUUAUUUUUUUUUUUUUGGAAUUGUUAGUUAGAUUACUUGCUCGUUAUUACUGCAUUGUCGGAACUAGAAGCACAAGCAUUUCGCUACACUCGCAUUAACAUCUGCUAACCAUGUGUAUGUGACAAAUAAAAUUUGAUUUGAUUUGAUUUGGUGUUCAGGCUAACUAGAGGAGGGUUAGGGGAGGAGGGGGAGAGUGGUGGUCAGGCUAACUAGAGGAGGGUUAGGGGGAGGAGGGGGAGAGUGGUGGUCAGGCUAACUAGAGGAGGGGUUAGGGGAGGAGGGGGAGAGUGGUGGUCAGGCUAACUAGAGGAGGGUUAGGGGGAGGAGGGGAGAGUGGUGGUCAGGCUAACUAGAGGAGGGGGGAGAGUGGUGGCCAGGCUAACUAGAGGAGGGGGAGAGUGGUGGUCAGGCUAACUAGAGGAGGGGGGAGAGUGGAGGCCAAUGGGUGGCUAGGACACGGUCACACUCUGACAAGAGUUUUGGGAUGGGGGCUAAGGUGUAGAAAUGGAGGAGCGGAGGGGAUUUCAAACUGUGGCCCUGUGCUGUGACAACGACAGUGUGUGUGUGUGUGUGUUUGGUCUGAGUGCGUGUGUGUGUGAGCUGUCUUCCCUAAAGGCACAGCUUGGUCCCAGCUCCCGGCCCUGGGAUGCCAUGAUAGCACAGAGGGACGAGGGGAGUGUGAUUAAUCUGUAGCCCCC